ACGCUCGACACCUACGGAGGCAGCAGUGGGGAAUAUUGCACAAUGGGGGAAACCCUGAUGCAGCGACGCCGCGUGAGCGAAGAAGUAUUUCGGUAUGUAAAGCUCUAUCAGCAGGGAAGAAAAUGACGGUACCUGACUAAGAAGCCCCGGCUAACUACGUGCCAGCAGCCGACGGUAAUCUGAGGCGGCGUGGACAAGGC
rnacentral:rRNA from 1 species